rnacentral:tRNA from 3 species
GCCUGUAGCUCAGUUGGUUAGAGCAGGGGACUCAUAAUCCCUUGGUCGUAGGUUCGAGUCCUACCGGGCC